ensembl:lncRNA
UUCGGGAAAAAAACUCACGGACGGUGACAGCGAAACGGAUAACAGUCUUCAGUACCUGCUGGACUUUGAAGCUGUGGAUUCUGGGACUGUUAGAAAAGAGGCAGCGGCGAGAGGGGAGACCUCGGCUCAUCCAGCUGGAGAGCCUGACCAGGAGGAGUCGAACAUUAACUGAGCUCUUCCAGGGCACCCUGCAGACUCGGCUGCUGGCAUCGGCGAGGGAUGACGUGAACGCCAAACUGGAGUCCAUCACAGGUCAACUGCAGCUCCUUGUCUCAGAGUGGGAGGGAUUUGAAGCACAAAGGGAGGAACUUGUCAUUUGGUUGGCUGAUAUGGAUGUGAGGUUGACCAGCUGACAGGAAACACCAGUGAAAAACUGAAACAACUGCAGGUGUGGGCUUGUUUUGAUAUGACAUAUACAGGGAGUGCAGAAUUAUUAGGCAAGUUGUAUUUUUGAG